GCAGCUGUGGCCUAGUGAAUAAGGCGAUUGACUGGAGAUCAAAAGGUUGCCGGUUCGAUACCUAACUCCA